rnacentral:rRNA from 1 species
GCUUACGGCCAUACCACCUUAGGCACGCCCGAUCUCGUCUGAUCUCGGAAGCUAAGCAGGGUCGGGCCUGGUUAGUACUUGGAUGGGUGACCGCCUGGGAAUACCAGGUGCUGUAUGCA